rnacentral:misc_RNA from 1 species
UACGAGAGCCCCAAGCGUUACCCGGAAUCACUGGGCGUAAAGGGUGUGUAGGUGGCUUUGUUAGUCCGCUGUGAAAGCUCUCCGGCUCAACCGGGGAAACGCAGCGGAAACGGCAAGGCUCGAGGAUGCGAGAGGCGUACAGAACUCUAGGUGUAGGGGUGAAAUCCGUUGAUAUCUAGGGGAAUACCGAAAGCGAAGGCAGUACGCUGGCGCAUUCCUGACACUGAAACACGAAAGCGUGGGUCGCGAACGGG